CUGUGAACUUGUUUUAAUCGCCCUGCCGUCUACAUGAAUUGAAGGAGUUAAGAUAAUGAAAUGGGAAUCGAAUUCGUUCGGUUCAGUCUUAACGAACUAACUUGUGCCUGCAAUAUGGUACAGACAAUUGUAGUAGUACGGUCAGGUCAACCUUUCUGCUUGAAACUUCUCCUUUCAUGAAGUUUCGGGUGGAAUCAAUUCAACACAUAUUUCACCACCUUUUUGCUAGUUGACUUUUAUAUGUUGUCUUCUUCAUACUUCGGUAUUGAGGAAUUCACACGUUUAUUAAUUGAACGUUAAAUGUACAACUCUUAGCAAUGGAUAUCUUGGUUCUCGCAACGAUGAAGAACGCAGCGAAAUGCGAUACGUAAUGCGAAUUGCAGAAUUCAGUGAAUCAUCAAAUCUUUGAACGCAAAUUGCGCUCUUGGGUAGCCCUAGGAGCACGCCUCUCUCAGUAUCGGUUCAACAACCUCUCAGCAGCGUAUAUGUGUCAAAACAUAUAGGCGAUGGCUGGAAAAUGAGAGUCUGAUUUUCACGAAUCAGUCUCUUGAAAUACAUCGAGUGAGUUUAUCAUAUACCCUAACGCGUGUUUCGGCACAAGCUAGUCUUCGACUGGUUGUAUGGG
rnacentral:rRNA from 1 species